rnacentral:rRNA from 1 species
CGGAGGAGUAAAGUGGCGCACGGGUGAGUAACGCGUGGGUAACCUGCCCUUGAAUUUGGGAUAACCCCGUGAAAACGGGACUAAUACCGGAUAUUGCCCUGAGGACUGUGGUUCUCGGGAUGAAAGGUGACCUCUUCACGAAAGUUGCCGUUCAGGGAAGGGCUCGCGUACCAUUAGCUUGUUGGUAGGGUAAUGGCCUACCAAGGCGACGAUGGUUAGCUGGUCUGAGAGGAUGAUCAGCCACACUGGAACUGAAACACGGUCCAGACUCCUACGGGAGGCAGCAGUGAGGAAUUUUGCGCAAUGGGGGAAACCCUGACGCAGCAACGCCGCGUGAGUGAAGAAGGCCUUCGGGUCGUAAAGCUCUGUCAAGUGGGAAAAAAUGUCCCGGGUAAAUAGCCCGGGAAACUGAUGGUACCACUGGAGGAAGCACCGGCUAACUCCGUGCCAGCAGCCGCGGUAAUACGGAGGGUGCAAGCGUUGUUCGGAAUUACUGGGCGUAAAGAGCGUGUAGCGGUUUGGCAAGUCAGAUGUGAAAGCCCCGGGCUCAGCCCGGGAAGUGCAUUUGAAACUGCCAUACUUGAGUAUGGGAGAGGAGAGUGGAAUUCCCAGUGUAGAGGUGAAAUUCGUAGAUAUUGGGAGGAACACCCGUGGCGAAGGCGACUCUCUGGACCAAUACUGACGCUGAGACGCGAAAGCGUGGGGAGCAAACAGGAUUAGAUACCCUGGUAGUCCACGCUGUAAACGAUGAGAACUAGGUGUAGCGGGUAUUGACCCCUGCUGUGCCGAAGUUAACGCAUUAAGUUCUCCGCCUGGGGAGUACGGCCGCAAGGCUAAAACUCAAAGGAAUUGACGGGGGCCCGCACAAGCGGUGGAGCAUGUGGUUUAAUUCGACGCAACGCGAAGAACCUUACCUGGGUUUGACAUCCUCUGACCGUCUGGGAAACCAGAUUUUUCCGGUUCUGCCGGAACAGAGUGACAGGUGCUGCAUGGCUGUCGUCAGCUCGUGUCGUGAGAUGUUGGGUUAAGUCCCGCAACGAGCGCAACCCUUAUUUUUAGUUGCCAGUAUUAAGUUAGGCACUCUAAAGAGACUGCCUCGGUUAACGAGGAGGAAGGUGGGGAUGACGUCAAGUCCUCAUGGCCUUUAUACCCAGGGCUACACACGUGCUACAAUGGGCUGUACAAAGGGUCGCCAAUCCGCGAGGAUGCGCUAAUCCCAAAAAGCAGCUCUCAGUUCGGAUUGGAGUCUGCAACUCGACUCCAUGAAGUUGGAAUCGCUAGUAAUCGUGGAUCAGCAUGCCACGGUGAAUACGUUCCCGGGCCUUGUACACACCGCCCGUCACACC